GUGGGGAAUAUUGGACAAUGGGCGAAAGCCUGAUCCAGUCAUGCCGCGUGUGUGAAGAAGGUCUUCGGAUUGUAAAGCACUUUAAGUUGGGAGGAAGGGCAGUAAGUUAAUACCUUGCUGUUUUGACGUUACCAACAGAAUAAGCACCGGCUAACUUCGUGCCAGCAGCCGCGGUAAUACGAAGGGUGCAAGCGUUAAUCGGAAUUACUGGGCGUAAAGCGCGCGUAGGUGGUUCAGCAAGUUGAAGGUGAAAUCCCCGGGCUCAACCUGGGAACUGCAUCCAAAACUGCAUGACUAGAGUACGGUAGAGGGUAGUGGAAUUUCCUGUGUAGCGGUGAAAUGCGUAGAUAUAGGAAGGAACACCAGUGGCGAAGGCGACUACCUGGACUGAUACUGACACUGAGGUGCGAAAGCGUGGGGAGCAAACAGGAUUAGAAACCCGUGUAGUCC
rnacentral:rRNA from 1 species